rnacentral:misc_RNA from 1 species
UGUCCCACCUUUCUGGGCAGGUUUGUUUUCUUAAUUUUAGUGAUCAAUGAGUGUUGGAAAUUAAUUUGUGGUGUGUAGUUUAAGUUCUAUGGUUUCAGAGUAGUAAAAAAAAUCCUCUGAAAACCCAUAAUGCAGUUAGUCAGGGGUUCUUGAAGCCUUUGCUUCUUCCUUCCCUUCCCUUGAAGGCUUGAACAGAAAAAGAAGAGAAUGAAUUUUCAAAUUGCUAACACCCACCCUUCUAUUGGUUGAUAUUUCCCAAGGCACUCUUAUAGUUUUGACUGUAUUUUUUCCUUUUUCUUCACAUAAUAUGCAUUAUCUUGUUUAUCCAGAAACUGAGCAAGGGGUAGCGCACGCAAUUAUUCGCUCUGUCAUUGAU